GGGAAAUGAGCUCCUCUGAGGAAGAGAAUAGACCCAGGGAUGUGAGUGGAUGAGCCCUCUUCAAAGUAUGCCCUCCCUGUGCCCAGAUCAAAACAAGAACAAACUUUAUGAGUUAUCCUGUAAAACCCAGAAUUGAAAACAUCUCUUUCUUCUAGAGAUCUUCAACGUGAGAAGCAAUAAGUUUCUAAUAGUGACCAGAAUCACAAGUAAUGAAGGAAAACAAGACAGUGUUCUAGAAAACAACUGGACAGUGAAGAGCAUAAUCUCAGUGAAAGUAUCACUGGUAGCACAUCUAGAGAGGCCAGUGAUUCUGAUGUGUCUUCAUGGAUAAGCAAUUCCCCUGUGCCAUGGAAUUGGAAUGAUAUGCCUUGGAGUUUUCUUAGCUCUACUUGGGACACACAGUUUCAUAAUUGUAGCAUAUAAGCCAACUUUCCUGGAAGGGAUUUUAGCAUGUGGA